AUUAGGCGUUUAUAAUCUCAUUUGCUGAAACAGACAGUUCAAGAACCUGCCGUCUAUAUGGCUUUCAAAGUGGGCAGGUUAACUUUUUUAGCCCUUUGGCCAACCCCUUUUCGGUUGUUCGGUUUCCGGGUGAUGAUAAGUACUUUGGCUCAGUUGUUUUUGUUUGUAGAUGUUAUUAAUUUCGCGUAAAAGGGGGCCUGAAGGCUUCGCCCGCUCAACGGAAAAAGGCACCCCGAGAGCUGUCAAUGUCACUGGGGUGGAUAGAUGGAUGAAUGGAUAAAUGGAUGGAAUGAACAAGAGCUGGUCUGAGGGAGUUGGUAACACAGCCAAAGGGGCAAAUGUUAGCGGGCGUGCGCUGUCAAAUUUGACAAAUGUUGACAAAUGGUUGGAAAAUAAUAUUCCAUAAGAAAAAGGACCACACGUUCAGUGCUGCUCACUCCCCGAGUAUUAAUAUUAUUUGCCUUCAUUAGUGGCGUGUAACCCGAGGCGUCGCCAUCGGAAUUGACAACCAUUUGCACUUGUUGUGGGUCGAUGUUUUUUGCAUAGGCCAAGCUCCUCGUUCAUUGUUGUCCUGUCAAAUCAAUCAUUGUCUGCCUGUCGCCUCAGUCCUGCCUGGCCUGGCCUGGUCUGCGAUGGUAUGGUCUGGUCUGGCUAUAUGGCCUCCAUGGUUUUUGCACACUUGGAUUUCGCCGUCCGUCUGGUUGUCUGGUGGUCCUCUUUGUUAUUGACAUAAAGCCAGCCCAUAAUUUUUCAUUGCACUGCACACGCAUGACAUUAAUUUUGUUGACAGUUUUCUUUUAUUUCAUACUGCCUUUGUACUUAUUCUUUUUCCUUUCGGGCUGUCAGCACGCAUUUACAUGUGUCAGACGAGGUUUCCCUGGGAAAUGUCGUUGGCAGGGUUGAAAGUAUUAUGCCCACGGUUGGAUAGGAUUCGUCCCUGUUACGUGUGCGGAUUUUGUGGUUUUGCGAAUUUUUUUUAAUUUUCGAAAGAGUUUUUCGUGUCCUAAUUGAAGUUGUCAUCCGUCAUUCUUACACAUGACAAGUUGUAGAUGGAACUGAAAACUGUCUCCAAGCAGGUGCCCCACAUUAAUCUCUGAGCUAGCAUUGGACAUUUAUAUUUAAUGUUUCUUACAACCUAGUUUCGAAAACAACUCAAGUUCCAUGGCGCACGGGAAGACACAUGGACUCCCACCCAUGUAGGAGCUAGUGGAUUGGCAGCUCCAAAAAACUUCACCGGAAUGACGGCAUCCGACAGGCGACAUGUAUAAUUUACAAGAUUAACGAUACAAAAAUUGAUUUCAAUGCCAUUAAAAAUGUCGAAAAUAAUCUGAGA
rnacentral:sRNA from 1 species